AAACCUGCAUGCCAAAGAGAAGUACUAAUCACUUUUCCUGUGAACCGGCCUUUUAACCUCCUGCCUGUCCAGCCUCCAACUCAACACACCGCUGUCCAAUCAUAACUUACCUCCCUUCCUGGAAACAUCUCCACCUAAAAUGAACCAACCAGCAGAAACUGGACUCCUCGACAUCCCGUUAAUUUCUGUUUGUCAAUAAACCCGCUAAACCUUAA